rnacentral:rRNA from 1 species
AAUUCGUGGUGUAGCGGUGAAAUGCUUAGAUAUCACGAAGAACUCCGAUUGCGAAGGCAGCUGCUAAGCUGCAACUGACAUUGAGGCUCGAAAGUGUGGGUAUCAAACAGGAUUAGAUACCCUGGUAGUCCACACGGUAAACGAUGAAUACUCGCUGUUUGCAAGCGGCCAAGCGAAAGCGUUAAGUAUUCCACCUGGGGAGUACGCCGGCAACGGUGAAACUCAAAGGAGUUGACGGGGGCCCGCACAAGCGGAGGAACAUGUGGUUUACUUCGAUGAUACGCGAGGAACCUUACCCGGGCUUAAAUUGAAGGUGCUGCAUGGUUGUCGUCAGCUCGUGCCGUGAGGUGUCGGCUUAAGUGCCAUAACGAGCGCAACCCUUGUUGUCAGUUACGACUCUGACAAGACUGCCAUCGUAAGAUGGAGGAAGGUGGGGAUGACGUCAAAUCAGCACGGCCCUUACGUCCGGGGCUACACACGUGUUACAAUGGGGGGUACAGAGGGCCGCUACCACGCGAGUGGAUGCCAAUCCCUAAAACCCCUCUCAGUUCGGACUGGAGUCUGCAACCCGACUCCACGAAGCUGGAUUCGCUAGUAAUCGCGCAUCAGCACGGCGCGGUGAAUACGUCCCGGGCCUUGUACACACCGCCCGUCAAGGGCGA